rfam:Oryza brachyantha chromosome 1, whole genome shotgun sequence.
AAGUUUGAAGAAGAAGAUCUAAUCUCUUACAUCCUGUCAGGACUUAAUGAUGACUUCGAGCCGAUUGUUUCUGCUCUCGUCUCACGAGUAGAACCAGUAAGUUUGAAUGAAGUUUACUCACAGUUAUUGAAUUUUGAAA